rnacentral:rRNA from 1 species
CGGGUGAGUAACACGUGGGCAAUCUGCCCUGCACUCUGGGACAAGCCCUGGAAACGGGGUCUAAUACCGGAUACUGACCCCCGCAGGCAUCUGCGGGGUUCGAAAGCUCCGGCGGUGCAGGAUGAGCCCGCGGCCUAUCAGCUUGUUGGUGAGGUAAUGGCUCACCAAGGCGACGACGGGUAGCCGGCCUGAGAGGGCGACCGGCCACACUGGGACUGAGACACGGCCCAAACUCAUACGGGAGGCAGCAGUGGGGAAUAUUGCACAAUGGGCGAAAGCCUGAUGCAGCGACGCCGCGUGAGGGAUGACGGCCUUCGGGUUGUAAACCUCUUUCAGCAGGGAAGAAGCGAAAGUGACGGUACCUGCAGAAGAAGCGCCGGCUAACUACGUGCCAGCAGCCGCGGUAAUACGUAGGGCGCGAGCGUUGUCCGGAAUUAUUGGGCGUAAAGAGCUCGUAGGCGGCUUGUCACGUCGGUUGUGAAAGCCCGGGGCUUAACCCCGGGUCUGCAGUCGAUACGGGCAGGCUAGAGUUCGGUAGGGGAGAUCGGAAUUCCUGGUGUAGCGGUGAAAUGCGCAGAUAUCAGGAGGAACACCGGUGGCGAAGGCGGAUCUCUGGGCCGAUACUGACGCUGAGGAGCGAAAGCGUGGGGAGCGAACAGGAUUAGAUACCCUGGUAGUCCACGCCGUAAACGGUGGGCACUAGGUGUGGGCGACAUUCCACGUCGUCCGUGCCGCAGCUAACGCAUUAAGUGCCCCGGCCUGGGGAGUACGGCCGCAAGGCUAAAACUCAAGGAAUUGACGGGGGCCCGCA